AGAGCAUGUCAUGAGGACACCUCCUCAUCAGUUGCUUGUAUCUUUCCCAAGCUUCAUUGAGGAAUUCACCUUCUCUUUGUCUGAAGGUUUAAACUUUAACUCUGAUUUU